rnacentral:SRP_RNA from 1 species
CCCUCGUGCGGCGUGAUCUCGCUGAACCUCCCCAGGGCCGGAAGGCAGCAAGGACAGGCGAGCUCUUACGGGUGUGCGGGGGGUCCCUUAAAU